CAGUAGCCGCGGUAAUACGUAGGUGGCAAGCGUUGUCCGGAAUUAUUGGGCGUAAAGGGCUCGCAGGCGGUUUCUUAAGUCUGAUGUGAGAGCCCCCGGCUCAACCGGGGAGGGUCAUUGGAAACUGGGAAACUUGAGUGCAGAAGAGGAGAGUGGAAUUCCACGUGUAGCGGUGAAAUGCGUAGAGAUGUGGAGGAACACCAGUGGCGAAGGCGACUCUCUGGUCUGUAACUGACGCUGAGGAGCGAAAGCGUGGGGAGCGAACAGGAUUAGAUACCCGAGUAGUCCCUGUCUCUUAUAC
rnacentral:rRNA from 1 species